AAAAGAGCAAAGGCAGUUUGUUUUUUUCUCCCUGGCUGCUUUUUGAGAUCCACCCUCCACCUUCCUUCCGGCUACGCUGAGCCUUGAGAAGGGGACCCACAGGGGCUACAUGGACUUUGCCCUCUGGUUCAGUAAUCUGUGCAUUGAAACCCAGGAAUACUUUCCAGUCCUCCCCCAAGGUUGCCAAGUGGAAUGCUUACAUAGAAACCUGGCCAGGCAAAGGAACCCCUUACAGCUGCCUGACAGGUGAGCUCUAACUUGUGCUGGAGAUAAAGCAGGGCAAGUGGCUUUCACUGCUUUUUCUUGGAUUUACUUCUCUAAUGGCAAAAAAAAAACAAAAAAAAAAACAAAAGG